GCCAGUAGUCAUAUGCUUGUCUCAAAGAUUAAGCCAUGCAUGUCUAAGUUUAAGCUAAAUUAAACCGACGAAACUGCGAAUGGCUCAUUAAAUCAGUUAUUAGUUUAUUUGAUAGUACCUUACUACAUGGAUAACCGUGGUAAUUCUAGAGCUAAUACAUGACUAAAAACCCCGACUUCGGAAGGGGUGUAUUUAUUAGAUUAAAAACCAAUGCCCUUCGGGGCUAACUGGUGAUUCAUAAUAACUUCUCGAAUCGCAUGGCCUUGCGCUGGCGAUGGUUCAUUCAAAUUUCUGCCCUAUCAACUUUCGACGGCUGGGUCUUGGCCAGCCAUGGUGACAACGGGUAACGGAGGGUUAGGGCUCGACCCCGGAGAAGGAGCCUGAGAAACGGCUACUACAUCCAAGGAAGGCAGCAGGCGCGCAAAUUACCCAACUCCCGACACGGGGAGGUAGUGACAAUAAAUACUGAUACAGGGCUCUUUUGGGUCUUGUAAUUGGAAU
rnacentral:ncRNA from 1 species